rnacentral:rRNA from 1 species
UACGUAGGGCGCAAGCGUUGUCCGGAAUUAUUGGGCGUAAAGAGCUCGUAGGUGGCGUGUCGCGUCUGCCGUGAAAGCCCAUGGCUUAACUGUGGGUCUGCGGUGGAUACGGGCAGGCUAGAGGCUGGUAGGGGCAAGCGGAAUUCCUGGUGUAGCGGUGAAAUGCGCAGAUAUCAGGAGGAACACCGGUGGCGAAGGCGGCUUGCUGGGCCAGUUCUGACGCUGAGGAGCGAAAGCGUGGGGAGCGAACAGG